UCGCACAGUUGUACUAUUUUU
rnacentral:piRNA from 1 species